AUGCAAGGCUUCUGUCACAAUGGUGGCUCCUUGGGGUGCAAAGAGGGCUAACGGGUAACACUACCAGGCGGUUCGUUUAUCUGAUGUCGGGACCUGAACGCCCCCCAAUCACUGGGCUGCUCCUGCAGGUUAGGGGGCCAUCAGGCCGGAAGGAAAGGCCGUCCCCUCGUGCACUGGUCCGUCCAGUUGCCGCCCAGUAAGUACGGGGGCCACCCGUGUUGACCACAGACCAGGGGCCACCCCAGGGACAGGCGAAGCAGGGACUCUAGCUGCACUUCUACGGGCCGGGUUAUUUCUGAUCGUGUCUUCUCAAACUGACACGUCCACACCAAGGGCCCUGGGAGCUCACCCAAAUACCGUUCCCACACCCUCGCUUUUCAACCAACGAGGGCCUCUCACCCUCACCUGGGCAGCUUCCGCGGCACGGCACCCCAGCACAUCCCAGACAGAACACCCGAGCCCAGGGCGCGAAUGAUGCAUUCGCUUGCUUGCGCACCAGAGCAGACACCUUGGCCGUUCGUGGGCCACCCCCACCCACACAGCCCACUGGCUGCUCUGUCCUGUUCCCAUUUCAAACCAGAUGGUACCAUCUCUGGUUGCUCAGCCACCGCCGUCCAAGGGCCUGGCGGCCCCGACUGUACCCACAGCGCCCGGCCUCGGGCUCUGCCUCCACAGUAAAGGUUAUGGGACCCAAACUUCCUGCAGCUCCGCUGGCACGAAGUACUCCACUGUCGCAGACAACUGCUCAGACUUGACCGACGAUCCAGGCCCCUGCAAGUUGGCUUCAUCGAUUGCCAGCCCCGUGACUUCAGAUGUGUUGCCCCGCUUCACACCAGCCAUCCAGGGCCACACCCUCGGCACAUGGAGGUUCCCAGGCUAGGGGUCCAAUCAGAGCUACAGCUGCUGGCCUGCACCUCAGUCACCACAAUGUGGGAUCCAAGCCUUGUCUGCAAACUACCCCACAGAUCACGGCAACGCCAGAUCCUUAACCCACUGAGCGAGGCCAGGGCUCGAACCUGCGUCCUCACGGCUGCUGGUCAGAUUCGUUUCCUCUGAGCCAGGAUAGGAACUCCCCUAAAGGCUGCCACGAGGAGCGGGUAUAGCGAACUCCACAUAUGGCCACAGGUCCCCAUCUGUCUCCUGCAGACGGGCACCUCCGCCUUGCUGCUGACUCUCCUGCGGCUGCUGCCACAAUAAGGGAUGCAAAUCCAGUAACCUCCGCCUUUGCCCUGUUCAAAGAUAAACAGGGUGUCCUCCCCCUGCGGGACUGUGGACACCAAACGGCCCUCCAAGCGAUCCGCUCGUGCCCAACC
rnacentral:lncRNA from 1 species